GUUGUAGUCAAAUGCUCAAAGCACUACACAAUGUUAGCUCUCUAACUACACAACUACAGCACUGCCAAGAGAUGCCCAUCCAAUCUCUGUUUAAAGACCUCCAGAGGAGAAUCCAACACUCCAAAGCAGUCCAUUCCAUUCUUGAACAGCUCUUAUCGUAAAAGUUCUUCCUCGUGGUUUUGUGGAUUCUCUGCUCUGUCUGCCUCUCUGUCCAUUGUUCAACUGUGGUCCUUGCUCUCUAUGGAGGGAAAGGUUAUUUGGUCUAGACCUCCUCCCUGUUAAAGGGGCUAGAGUUCUUCUUUCCCCAUCUCCCUCCCUGAUCACCCCUUAAUCCAGAUCCAUGGAUGUGGAGGAAACCGCUGGGGACACUGUAGGGCAGAUGAGGGGUGCUCUGGACAGCAGAAGGCCCAGAGAUGCCCUUUUCCUUUCCUGAAAGACAGGUGCUCUCCAUACACACACCUCUCAAUUGGCAACACAACCAGGGCAAGGCAGUGCCUCCAUUCUCUUGGUAUUUUUUGGGUAAGGCUAACUGGCAAUAGCAAUUAAGUAUUCAGGGGCUGGGGGAGGCAAUGGCCAAAAAACCAGUGAUGAUGAGAUUUCUCCCUGUGGAGAGGCAAGGAACAGAUUCCUUGCUCUGCUCUGCAGACAAGGGGAGACACAAAAUGGACAUGGGGGUGUAUCUCUAAUAGUGUUUGAGGAAGAGAGGCUUGGGGCUAACCACAGGACUAUUACAGCUCACUGCCACUCAAAGAAGCCCCAUUCUCACUGCUCUGGCAAGCUACCCUUGGGCAGUUGAGUUGGUUGCCUCCCUCUGAGCAGCAGGGACAACAAUUCAGGCAGACUUGGAGUUGAAUCUCAGCAAAAUAGAGAGACACAUCUCCCCACAACUCUCUCCACCCCCUUCUCACUGCACUUAAACUCCAUACCAGCCAUUAUCACAUUUCCUCCUUUGGAGUUGACUCAUCCCAUCCCCAAAUACCAGAAGGAAAACUAAAAAUGGAAGCAACCUUGAUGGGCACACUUAGUUGCAACCAGGCAGCCGGAUACACUGCCAACUUGGGUUAAAAGCUGCUGCCUGGAUCUUGCCUCUUAGCUUCCAUUUUCUUCCUCUUUCUCUUUAGCCUAAACAUCUGUCCCUCAGCCUGGAGGAAGAUUCCAAACCUUGCAGUGCUGAAAUCCCAACAGCUGGAUGAGGAGUGCCAACGGGCAGGAACUUAUCACUGUAAUGAGCAAUCUGCCCGACUGGAAUCUAGCAGAUAAGGGAAACCAAAGGAAUGCUGCCUCUUCUAUCCUUCAGCCCCGGGCAGGACCUGUAUGGGAGGAGCAGAUCUUAUGGAGGCAGAAUAGACUCCCUCUGGACCAGUGGUGAACAUGUGAUGAAUCAGGUGCUGACAUCCAAACUGAGAUCCUACUAAUUUAUUUGCCUUGUUUUGGGUGGGGGGGGGGGGAGUAUGCCAAAUCAUUGAUUUUUCCUAAUUAAAGAAAAACAGUAAUCAACUUA